CAGCUUGUUGGCGGGGUAACGGCCCACCAAGGCGACGAUCCGUAGCUGGUCUGAGAGGACGAUCAGCCACACUGGGACUGAGACACGGCCCAGACUCCUACGGGAGGCAGCAGUGGGGAAUCUUGCACAAUGGGCGAAAGCCUGAUGCAGCGACGCCGCGUGCGGGAAGAAGGCCUUCGGGUUGUAAACCGCUUUCAGGAGGGACGAAGCCACUCGGGUUAAUAGCCCAGAGGGUGACGGUACCUCCAGAAGAAGCCCCGGCUAACUACGUGCCAGCAGCCGCGGUAAUACGUAGGGGGCAAGCGUUGUCCGGAUUUAUUGGGCGUAAAGCGCGUGUAGGCGGCCAGGUAGGUCUGCUGUGAAAACUCGAGGCUCAACCUCGAGCUGUCGGCGGAAACCCUCUGGCUAGAGUCCGGAAGAGGAGAGUGGAAUUCCCGGUGUAGCGGUGAAAUGCGCAGAUAUCGGGAAGAACACCCGUGGCGAA
rnacentral:rRNA from 1 species